GACGAACGCUGGCGGCGUGCUUAACACAUGCAAGUCGAACGAAGUGGCGCACGGGUGAGUAACGCGUAAUCAACCUGCCCUUCAGUGGGGGACAACAGUUGAAAACGACUGCUAAUACCGCAUACCGAAAGAGGGGAUUGCGUCUGAUUAGCUAGUUGGAGGGGUAACGGCCCACCAAGGCGAUGAUCAGGCGCCGGUCUGAGAGGGUGAACGGCCACAUUGGGACUGAGACACGGCCCAGACUCCUACGGGAGGCAGCAGUGGGGAAUCUUCCGCAAUGGACGAAAGUCUGACGGAGCAACGCCGCGUGAGUGAUGACGGCCUUCGGGUUGUAAAGCUCUGUUAAGCGGGACGCGGUACCGGAAUAGAAAGCCACGGCUAACUACGUGCCAGCAGCCGCGGUAAUAC
rnacentral:rRNA from 1 species